rnacentral:rRNA from 1 species
AAUGAACGCUGGCGGCAUGCCUAACACAUGCAAGUCGAACGGUAACAGGAAGAAGCUUGCCUCUUGGCUGACGAGCGGCGGACGGGUGAGUAAUGUCUGGGAAACUGCCCGAUGGAGGGGGAUAACUACUGGAAACGGUAGCUAAUACCGCAUAACGUCGCAAGUUCAAAGAGGGGGACCUUCGUGCCUCUUGCCAUAGGAUGUGCCCAGAUGGGAGUAGCUAGUAGGUGGGGUUACGGCUCACCGAGGCGACGCUCUCUAGCUGGUCUGAGGGGAUGACCAGCCACACUGGCAGUGAGACACGGUCCAGACUCCGACGGGAGGCAGCAGUGGGGAAUAUUGCACAAUGGGCGAAAGCCUGAUGUAGCAAUGCCGCGUGAAUGAAGAAGGCUUUAGGGUUGUAAAGUAAUGUAGGCGGGGAGGAAGGGAAGCAAGUUAACCCGUUAGCAUAUUGACGUUACCGGGAGAAGAAGCACCGGCUAACUCCGUG